ensembl:misc_RNA Metazoa_SRP Metazoan signal recognition particle RNA
GCUGGGUAUGGUGGUGCGUGCCUAUAGUUCCAGCUACUCAGAAGGCUGAAGCAGGAGGAUCUCUUGAGCCCAUGAGUCCUGAGCUGCAGUGCACUAUGCCAAUUAAUUGGGUGUCCAUGCUAAGUUUGACAUCAAUAUGGUGACCUCCUGGGAGCAGGGGACAGCCAGGUUGCCUAAGGAAGGGUGAACUGGCCCAGGUUGGAAAUGCAGCAGGUCAAAACUCCUGUGCUGAUCAGUAUUGGGAUCACUCCUGCGAAUAGCUACGGCACUCUAGCCUGGGCAACAGAGCAAGACCCGGGCUCUU